AAACGUAGGAGGCGAGCGUUAUCCGGAUUUACUGGGUGUAAAGCGCGUGUAGGCGGCAGUGCAAGUUGUCUGUGAAAGCGCCCGGCUCAACCGGGCGAGGACGGGCAAGACUGCGCAGCUAGAGGCAGGUAGAGGUGUGUGGAAUUCCGGGUGUAGUGGUGAAAUGCGUAGAGAUCCGGAGGAACACCAGUGGCGAAGGCGACACACUGGGCCUGACCUGACGCUCAGACGCGAAAGCAUGGGGAGCAAACGGGAUUAGAAACCCCGGUAGUCCAUGCCGUAAACGAUGCGGACUAGGUGUUGCGGGUUGAAUCCCCUGCAGUGCCGCAGCCAACGUGAUAAGUCCGCCACCUGGGGACUACGGCCGCAAGGUUAAA
rnacentral:rRNA from 1 species